AUGAAAUGACAGAUUGAAUCUGCUUUCAUCAGUCAACAGAACUGAUGACAACUGACAUUGAUUCCAACGCUGAUGAUGCCAGCACUGUUGCAAGCAAGCAUUGGAGUGAGGUGGGAAGGGAAGUAGUUUGGCAUGAAGAUACCCAACUGUUAUCAAACUCAAAGCAUCCAUCUCAUAUCAGUCCUACCUGGUCAGCAUUGGCUCACCAGGACAUUUUCACAUCUCUUGCUUCACAAACAACACAUUCAAGUGCCACUGCCUGCUGUAAGAUGGGAGAAGAUUCCCCUGCUAUAGGUGUGUUCUGGGACAUCGAGAACUGCCCAGUCCCAAAAUGGAAAUCAGCCUUGAGUGUAGUUCAGCGGAUACGGGACCGCUUCUUCCAUGGUCACCGAGAGGCAGAGUUCAUGUGUGUUUGUGAUAUCUUAAAGGAACGCAAGGACAUCAUAGAGGAAUUGAACUCAGCACAGGUAGAUAUUAUACACAUCAGUGCCAGCAGUAAGAAUGCAGCCGACGACAAGAUUAAACAGAGUCUACGACGUUUUGCCGACACUCACCCACCACACACCAAGGUUAUUCUCAUCUCAGGUGACGUCAACUUUUCCAUGGACCUUUCUGACCUCCGACACCGAAAAAAUUUCCACGUCAUCCUCAUCCAUCGUGCACACUCUCACCCCUCCCUCAUCGCAUGUGCUAAUGAGCACUUCUGUUUCGAGGAGCUUGUGGAGGAUGUUCCUUGUCGAUCACCAUCUAAGACAUUUGAGGGACUGUCAGAAGUAGAAGUACGGGGUUUCCCCUCCCACAUGCAUACUGAUAAGCUGAGGGCCAGGCUUAAGAAGCUGUCUGAGAACUGUGGUGGGCGUGUCACCAGCAUCACCCAGGACUAUGCCUUGCUCAAGUUCAGCAGUCAUGAAGUUGCACUCAGAGCUCAGAAGAGAAUGGAUGGGGAGGAUGUGUUUGGCCAGAAGAUUAUUGCCCAGAUACCAGCUACAUCAAACACAGGGGACAGCACAGUAGGAUCGCCUCACACAGGUUAUACAAAGAGGUCUAAACUUUCGAUGCCCGGUUUUGGAAGCCCUAAACAUUAUAAUCGACACAGCAGUCCAUCCGGCGACAGACGGACAUUCCGCAACAACUCCCCAUAUCGGGGGUGUGUGAGUGCGCCUGUAGCCAGUGGGUACACCUCAAGCCCUGAGGCCAACAACAGGCCAUCAGAUGUUGAUGCUGACAAACAGCCUGACAACUAUUCUACAAACGGGAAGCGUCCAAGUCGAGAAAUGUUGAUGCUGCAGCAGCAGCGCUACCAGGAGAGUCAGCAUAAGCUGAAUGGGGGCUGUGGAGGAGGGGGAGAUGCUGGGGAUGAGAUGGACGGUACAGGCGAACUGGAUAACCACAGAUACGCUCAGCGAGUUGGGCACUGGUCUGGAGAUGAGAAAGGGAAAAUACAAAGCUACAAGAGAAGGCAUUUCAGUGGAUCUCACUCAGAUGAACAGACCGAGAACUAUCAUUACUAUUCUGCCCUAAGCCAUAAUUCAAGCUUUACCUAUGGGAGUGGCAGCCCUAUCCACAACCCACAGCGUGUCCGACAUGGCAGUGGUCCUUUUGGAUGUCGUCCCAAAAGUGUCCCAUAUGAGUUGGACCACCCAUAUGGCUCUUCAUGGCCUCCACCGCAGGACAAUGAGUUCUUCCACAGAGGGAGCCCAAACUUCCGUUCGUACAGCCCUCGGCGCUACAACUGCAUGAACUCAAACCAAAACAAUUGUAACUAUCAACAAAACAACUACCACAACAACUUUCACAACAACAUCAAUAGUAGCAACAGCUUCCAGCCCAUCAUGCCUGGUGCAUCGCCCCCAGGGUCCCCGCUGACAGAUGGCUCCUCACCCCAGGGGAUGGGCCCAGUAGAGCUAGUGGUCACAAACCUUGACUACAAUAUCAGUGCCAAGGAGUGGAGGAAGAUCCUGUUCACCACCUUUCAUCCUCAUGUCAAGGUUUUGAAUGUGCAUGUGAAGACCCAGCUGGACAACACUUGUAUUGGCAUGAUUAAAGUCCCCACCAUAGAGGAAGCACGUUUUGCAAUCUCCCAGUUUCACAGAAAGAAAAUUGGCUACAAGCGUAUCCAGGUCAGCCUGAAGACGGACGAUGCCCACACAGCAAGCGCAAACAUCCGUGCCGAAGCCAUUGCACUGCUGCAGGAGGCUAAGGGCAAUGUUCUGCCACUCUUCAAGUUCAUCGAACUGUUUGACAAGAGGUACCACAGAUCCAUCAGUGUCUCCGAGCUGUACAAGAUGCGUGACACGCUCGACAUCCGUGAGCAGGGUGGGGCAGGUAGGAUGGUGUAUCUGGCCCCAGUACUUGCCAAACCACCCACCCCACUAGAGGCCUCAGACACAGAGGGGGAGGAUGUUUUGGAGGAGCCUGUCUGUGCCAGUCACUGCCCCGAGGGAAGUGUGUUCUAUGCGGAAGCCAUGAACUCCUCAAUGUUGCCCAAUGUCCGCAUCCAGUUGAAGACGCUCGCUGCCCAAGUCCACUCCAUGCUGCAGUCUCACAAUGGCCACAUGCCACUCAUGAGUUUCCCGGCCUGUUAUGCUGCUGAGUUCAGUGCCCUGGUGUCAGUGAAGGAGGGCGUGCCCCUGGAGCACCUGAUCAGCUGUGUGCCCGGCAUACAGGUGCAAGUGUCUCGGCUGGGUGUCAAGAAGGUGCAGUGGAUGGAGAACCAACCUCCCCAGGCUAUAGAGUUCGGUCGGCAGUCAGCUACAGCCAGCCCCCUGUUGUCUCACCAGCUGGGGCAGAUAAGCCGCGAGGUGACAGAUCUUCUCAAACACAGUGCCAACUGCCGAAUGCCAGUGUCCAAGUUCAUUCCAGCAUAUCACCAUCAUUUCGGGCGUCAGUGUCGUGUAGCAGACUACGGGUACACCAAACUCAUGGAGCUUUUCGAGGCUAUUCCAUAUGCUCUGCAGGUUCUUGGUACCGGAGAUCGUAAGAUCCUGACUUUGAGUCACCGUGCUCAGAUUCGUCGCUUCACUGCUGAUCUACUCAAGGUGCUGAAGGGUCAGCCUGCCAAACAGCUGGCAGUGGAGGAGUUCCCUGAGGCUUUCGAAGCCGUGUUUGGCAAGGCCUGGGAUGUUACGGAGUAUGGAGUCUGCUACAUCGAGGAUCUUCUCAUGGAGAUCCCUCCAUCAACUCUCCUGAUGACUGUGGAGGAAGGGAAGUCUUUUAUUUCGGUUCCCAAGAGAGACCAGACAUCGGAGGAGAUGGAGCGCACUAAACAGUUUGCCCUAGAAGUAGUUGACCUGCUGAAGCACAACCCGCGAUGCCGCAUGCCAUUUAACAAGUUUAUCCCUGCGUACCAUCACCACUUCGGCAGACAGUGUAGAGUAGCCGACUAUGGCUUCACUAAGCUUACUGACCUCUUCGAAGCUGUGCCUCAGGUUGUGGAGCUGGAGGAGGAGGGUGAUGAGAGACUGCUGCGGCUCACGCAGCCAGAGAUGAGGAAGGUUCUGUCUGAACAGAUCACAAACCUGCUCAAGAUACAGCCAGGUCAUGGCAUGGUGAAGGACGAACUUUUACCAGCCUUCACUCGCCAGUUCAGCUUCAAUCUUCACCUACAGGAUUUCCAGGUGGUGUCACUAGAUGCUCUGCUGGCCAGACUGAGACACAUCAUCAGUAUUGAGACCUACAACAAUGUGGAAUAUGUUGUGUUGAUGAAGACCACAGAGUUGCCUCCCCUUGCCCUUCGUGUUCUGCAGCUGCUAAUGGAUCAGAGCUCUGGCUGUCUCCCCCUGGUGGAACUGUGCAGCUGGUACAAGACCACCUUUUCUGAAGAGUGUGAUGUCCAGACCAUCAAGGAGGAACUUGUAGAUUUCGUUCAUGUGUCGGGGGACGAUGAUGGCUCAGCCGUGAUCCGCCUGACAGCACUUCAGACUCUUGCUCGAGAUAUCCGCCACAUGCUGAUGCGCCAUGGCCGAAUCCCACUCCACCAGUUUGACAAGAUAUUCUUCGAGGUGCAUGGAGUGGAGAUGAAGCCAGCGCUGCAUGGGUUCGACUGCACCCACACCCUCCUGCAGGCCAUCCCCCAUGUUGUGUCUGUUCGAGGGAAGGGUAACCGCAAAUACGUGCAGCUCUCCCCAGCCAUUAAAGUGCCAGCUACUCUGCCAGCCUCGCUCAAAGCCAGUCCAGCUCGCAUCUUCUUUUCCGGGGACCACAAGGCACUGAAUGCUGGGAAGGGAGAGUCCUCGAACGAUUCUGGUGUCAAUGAUGCUUUAGAUGAGGAGCUUGACAGGUCCCAUGUUGAUGUACUGAGCCAGCCAGUGCCCUCUGCCAUCCCAUCCCCUGAGCUCAGACCAGAUCUUCACCAUGCCAAGGACCUCAUUCAGCUUGACUCCCCACAAGACCAAGACAUCUUGUUUCUGACUGAUGAGGAGAAGCGAGGACAGAAAACUCCGCUUUGUCUGACUCCAACAUCUGAGCUGCUGCAGUUUGCUGCCCAGUGUCUCGUCAUCCGACCACCAGAGGGAGCUGGCAGCAGUCGCAGUACGUCACCUGCUGGUGACAGCCAACAGGGACUCGCUAGAAAUAGUGCACUCACCCUGGCUGUCACGGCAACAGAAUUCGGUGACCAUGACCCUUCGUCAUCCAAUGAACUGCUGGAGCUACUUAAAGGAGGCUGGUGGAAGGCAAGUCCGGAACAACUGGAAGAAGUAAGCAGAACUUUCCGUGUUACAGCCUCGGGACGGGAGAGUCCAGCCGAUCCAGCAUUACGUAGCCAUGGACACACUCCCAGUAUAGAGCCCGCAGAGAAGUUACCUAAUGGUGAAGAGUCUAAGCCAAGUGUUAGCUUGGCUACCUCCAUCCUAAUGGAAGUCUCUGCCUCUGAAGGAGGCAGCAUCAACACCACUCUGAAGGAUGCAAGCAGCAGUUUUAGCAGUGAUGAAAGUAGUGAGCAGAAUGUUGCCCACGAUGUGUCCUUUGACGAGAUGUUUAAAAUGAGUAUGCCCCUGGAGACAAGCUCCACUAAGUCCAGCACGGGGUCGACCACCGACACCCCAGUCUCCUCACCGAGGAAGUCCCGCUCCAGGAUGGCAGCUAGGUUUGUUAACCCCAUACACAAUGACAGUGCUUGAGACAAAGAGUUGCUUGUGUAGGACAGCAUGGCUAGUGUCAGGGUGGCCCUGCAACACAAGAUGGGAAGUGUUCCAUGAAGUAUUUGAAUAAUAUCCGGUUCAUGGAGUGACACUAGAAGGAGGCCAUGUUGGAAUGUGAAGAAUGAAGUGUACUCUUACAAGAUGUAUUUGUCAGCAUGCGUGUCGCCUGGAUGAGACAUGCGGGCAGAAGUUUAUGUAAAUCCAUGAAGACUGUCACUGGGGAUGUAACAUUUUACCCUGUAAAACAAGUUUUACGCUUUUAGAGUGAUUACAAACCUAGACCUAGCAUCUUGACGACAUAUUGUAGAUUUCAUCACUGAAUUUUAGUGUUUUAAAUUAUAGUUUCACUUAUGCUUGCGUAUCUUCCUGUAUGAGAAAUGUUUUAAUUUUGGUAAUUCUUACAUGAAGAAUGUACAUGAAUUAGAAAAUGAAUUUAAUUUGAAUGUUUGGAAGUAUGUCCUAUUGAAUUAGUUUUGCCAUGUAUUGGAAAUACAAUACAGAUACCGCUGCCUCCAGGCACAAGUCACAUUGUAUCGGCUAGUCUCCAGGUACAAGUCACAUUGUAUCGGCUAGUCUCCAGGUACAAGUCACAUUGUAUCGGCUAGUCUCCAGGUAGGAUUAGGUUUGUGUACUUGUAUAUACCAAGUACUUGUUUCUAGUUUCCAGGACACACAAUGGGAUGUGUUGUUUAUGUUCAGUGGUGUUGUAGAGGAAGGGACAUGAUGGGACUCGCACCUAAUGACCGCAGUUGAAACCUUGCAGUGUUACUGUAUCUCAGUCUGUUGAAGAAAACAGUUUUGUUGAGUUUACAGAUAUUAUCGAAUCUAAUGAUUGCAUUAGUUUCAUGUUAACAGGGAGUUUUGAAAGCUGUUGCUGUGGUAACCACACUAAUCAAAGUGAUUCCUGAUUGGUGCCGUGAUUACACAGCUGGCUAUCUGGUUGCAGGCCAACACUGGACCAUGUAAACGCAGUAUCGCCUGCAUCAUGGUCGGCCAGGUCAUGGGUGACGUAGCUGGAUACACAAGUUCAAUGUCUUUCCCUUCUUUGGCAACUUGUCUUGUAUGUAUUACAAGUGUGAUGGUUCAUAUUUAGUUACUAAAAGUUAUUUGUACUUAUUUACUUAUUUUCGCUAUAUUAGUACAUUUUCGUAUGUAUUUCUCCAAGUGCUAAAGUGUCAUGUAGAGGUACAUGACGGUAGUGAUCUGGUACACCAUCUUACAGGUGUAAGAGGGGAUGAUGCUGGCUCUAGGCCUCAAUCUUGAGGCAAAUUCAUGAAGGAAUAGGUUUAUGAAGUGUAUUUGCAUUAAGUCCAGUUCAAGGUAAUUCCUGCAUGUGUGCAUGCAGUGUAUUGUACAUGAUUCUCAAUGAAUUUGCUGCUUUUCUAUAAUAAAAGUGCAAAAAUAUAAAAAGUUCUGAAUUUA
rnacentral:misc_RNA from 1 species